CCUAGCACUUCCGUGCCAGGCUGAGUUAUGCCGUCCCAUUGGGACU
rnacentral:sRNA from 18 species